UACCGACCUAAUCCCUUUUUAGGGUUCCGUAGCCAAAUGGCAAAAAACGGAACCCUUAUGGAUUCGUCAUGUCUGUCUGUCUGUCCGUCUGUCUGUCUGUCUGUCUGUCUGUCUGUCUGUCCGAGGCUUUGCUCCGUGAUCGUUAGUGCUAGAAAGCUGCAUUUUGGCAUGGAUACAUAGAUCA